rnacentral:rRNA from 1 species
UACGGGGGGGGGUAAGCGUUGUUCGGAAUUACUGGGCGUAAAGGGCUCGUAGGUGGCCAACUAAGUCAGACGUGAAAUCCCUCGGCUUAACCGGGGAACUGCGUCUGAUACUGGAUGGCUUGAGUUCGGGAGAGGGAUGCGGAAUUCCAGGUGUAGCGGUGAAAUGCGUAGAUAUCUGGAGGAACACCGGUGGCGAAGGCGGCAUCCUGGACCGAUACUGACGCUGAGGAGCGAAAGCCAGGGGAGCAAACGGGG